GGAAUAUUGGACAAUGGGCGAAAGCCUGAUCCAGCCAUGCCGCGUGAGUGAUGAAGGCCCUAGGGUUGUAAAGCUCUUUCGCCAGGGACGAUAAUGACGGUACCUGGAUAAGAAGCCCCGGCUAACUUCGUGCCAGCAGCCGCGGUAACACGAAGGGGGCUGGCGUUGUUCGGAAUAACUGGGCGUAAGGCGCCUGUAGGCGGACUGUUAAGUCGGGGGUGAAAUCCCGAGGCUCAACCUCGGAAUUGCCUUCGAUACUGGCAGUCUUGGAGUCCGGGAGAGGUGAGUGGAACUCCUAGUGUAGAGGUGAAAUUCGUAGAUAUUAGGAAGAACACCAGUGGCGAAGGCGGCUCACUGGCCCGGUACUGACGCUGAUAAGCGAAAGCGUGGGGAGCAA
rnacentral:rRNA from 1 species